rnacentral:rRNA from 1 species
AUUGAACGCUGGCGGCAUGCUUUACACAUGCAAGUCGAACGGCAGCACGGACUUCGGUCUGGUGGCGAGUGGCGAACGGGUGAGUAAUACAUCGGAACGUACCCAGUAAUGGGGGAUAGCUAUCCGAAAGGAUAGCUAAUACCGCAUACGCCCUACGGGGGAAAGAGGGGGAUCGCAAGACCUCUUGUUAUUGGGGCGGCCGAUGGCUGAUUAGCUAGUUGGUGGGGUAAAGGCCUACCAAGGCAACGAUCAGUAGCGGGUCUUAGAGGACGAUCCGCCACACUGGAACUGAGACACGGUCCAGACUCCUACGGGAGGCAGCAGUGGGGAAUCUUGGACAAUGGGCGCAAGCCUGAUCCAGCAAUGCCGCGUGCGUGAAGAAGGCCUUCGGGUUGUAAAGCGCUUUUGUCAGGGAGCAAAUCCUUGUGGCUAAUACCCACCGGGGAUGAGAGUACCUGAAGAAUAAGGACCGGCUAACUACGUGCCAGCCGCCGCGGUAACAC